GAUGAACGCUGGCGGCAUGCCUAAUACAUGCAAGUCGAGCGAACAGACGAGGAGCUUGCUCCUUUGACGUUAGCGGCGGACGGGUGAGUAACACGUGGGUAACCUACCUAUAAGACUGGGAUAACUUCGGGAAACCGGAGCUAAUACCGGAUAAUAUUUCGAACCGCAUGGUUCGAUAGUGAAAGAUGGCUUUGCUAUCACUUAUAGAUGGACCUGCGCCGUAUUAGCUAGUUGGUAAGGUAACGGCUUACCAAGGCAACGAUACGUAGCCGACCUGAGAGGGUGAUCGACCACACUGGAACUGAGACACGGUCCAGACUCCUACGGGAGGCAGCAGUAGGGAAUCUUCCGCAAUGGGCGAAAGCCUGACGGAGCAACGCCGCGUGAGUGAUGAAGGUCUUCGGAUCGUAAAACUCUGUUAUUAGGGAAGAACAAACGUGUAAGUAACUGUGCACGUCUUGACGGUACCUAAUCAGAAAGCCACGGCUAACUACGUG
rnacentral:rRNA from 1 species